GGUUGCUGAACGGUUUUGAAAAGCAGAUCAACACCGAAAGAAAAGAGAGAUUUCCGAUGCUUCAGUCGCCUGAGGCUACGUUUGUUAUCGAGAACGCCAAGAUGAAAGUAUCAUCAUGGAAGUUUAACCUCCGAUGAGUCCCUGCCAUCAACAAGUGGUGCUGCAGCGUCCAGCACACAAAAAACAUAUCUCAGCGGCCGUGGCGUCCGAGUCGCGUGGAAUCCAGCAGCGCUGCGUACCUGCUAGAGCACAGAAUCGUACUUUCCACUGUUGCCUGUUGAGUCUAUUUGUCGGUGGGGGACGCAAGAGGCACUCUCCUAUCAUGCACAGUAUAGAAAUUCUUGCAUGCGAAAAAUGAGUGGCUCCCAGUGGUGAGCCGAUUUGGAUGAAACGGACAAAUUUACACAGUGCGCGGGUUCCGGACCGUUCUGGACUCCCGUAGCACUCACACGGUAAGAGGCGCACACUACGGCCUCGACUCCAUUUCGGCUUUCGGAUCAGUUCCGGGUGCCUUCGGGAACUGAGACGGUAGUUCUACCGUCGUACCGUUUUUAUGGCGCAUAUUCGUACAGACACUACUCGGUUCUAUCGAUCAAAUACAACCUCUCUGUUUCCCCGGGAGGGCUCCGGAACUCGACCACCAGGAUAAGUCACCCUCACUGGUGGGCGUUCGCUGCGAUUACCGUCCUUCGGGACAUCCACCGAAAAAACUUAUUACCAUUUUGGUUAACAGGGAACGGCGCCUGCGUGGAAAGAAGCAGUGCGCCCUCAUGUGCUGUCUGAGUGGAGAGGAGAUACAGUACACUUUAUUUGCGCCGGAAGUAUAUAUUAGUCAG
rnacentral:lncRNA from 1 species